AGAUCAUUUUGAGGACAGUUUGUAAGCAAUCCUUUAUAAUGGUACCAUGCCUCAUACAGUGACUCUCCCGCUUGUUGCUUAAAAUUUGAAAUAGCCUUCUUGAACCU